rnacentral:rRNA from 1 species
CAGUCGCCACGGUAAUACGGAGGGAGCUAGCGUUGUUCGGAAUUACUGGGCGUAAAGCGCGCGUAGGCGGUUACUCAAGUCAGAGGUGAAAGCCCGGGGCUCAACCCCGGAACUGCCUUUGAAACUAGGUGACUAGAAUCUUGGAGAGGUCAGUGGAAUUCCGAGUGUAGAGGUGAAAUUCGUAGAUAUUCGGAAGAACACCAGUGGCGAAGGCGACUGACUGGACAAGUAUUGACGCUGAGGUGCGAAAGCGUGGGGAGCAAACAGGAUUAGAGACCCCUGUAGUCCCUGUCUCUUAUAC